rnacentral:rRNA from 1 species
UAGGGAAUCUUCGGCAAUGGACGAAAGUCUGACCGAGCAACGCCGCGUGAGUGAAGAAGGUUUUCGGAUCGUAAAACUCUGUUGUUAGAGAAGAACAAGGACGUUAGUAACUGAACGUCCCCUGACGGUAUCUAACCAGAAAGCCACGGCUAACUACGUGCCAGCAGCCGCGGUAAUACGUAGGUGGCAAGCGUUGUCCGGAUUUAUUGGGCGUAAAGCGAGCGCAGGCGGUUUCUUAAGUCUGAUGUGAAAGCCCCCGGCUCAACCGGGGAGGGUCAUUGGAAACUGGGAGACUUGAGUGCAGAAGAGGAGAGUGGAAUUCCAUGUGUAGCGGUGAAAUGCAUAGAUAUAUGGAGGAACACCAGUGGCGAAGGCAGCUCUCUGGUCUGUAACUGACGCUGAGGCUCGAAAGCGUGGGGAGCAAACAGG